rnacentral:rRNA from 1 species
AACGUAGGUGGCAAGCGUUAUCCGGAAUUACUGGGCGUAAAGGGUGUGCAGGCGGGGAAGCAAGUGGGGUGUGAAAUCUCCCAGCUUAACUGGGAUAGGUUAUGCCAGACUGCUUUUCUAGAGGACGAGAGAGGGGCGUGGAAUUCCGGGUGUAGUGGUGAAAUGCGUAGAGAUCCGGAGGAACCCCAGAGGCGAAGGCGACGCCCUGGCUCGUACCUGACGCUCAGCCACGAAAGCAUGGGGAGCGAACGGG